AGCAGUGUAGCCUAAUAGAAAGAGCAUGGUCCUGGAAAUCAAAGGAUCUGGGUUCUAAUCCCAACUCUGCCA
rnacentral:tRNA from 1 species